ensembl:snRNA U6 U6 spliceosomal RNA
GUGCUUGCUUCAGCAGCACAUAUACUAAAAUUGGAACAAUACAGAGAAGACUAACACGGCUGCUGCACAAGGAUGACACGAAAAUUCAUGAAGUAUUCCAUAUUUUU